rnacentral:rRNA from 1 species
AUUGAACGCUGGCGGCAGGCCUAACACAUGCAAGUCGAGCGGAUGAAGGGAGCUUGCUCCUGGAUUCAGCGGCGGACGGGUGAGUAAUGCCUAGGAAUCUGCCUGGUAGUGGGGGAUAACGUCCGGAAACGGGCGCUAAUACCGCAUACGUCCUGAGGGAGAAAGUGGGGGAUCUUCGGACCUCACGCUAUCAGAUGAUCCUAGGUCGGAUUAGCUAGUUGGUGGGGUAAAGGCCUACCAAGGCGACGAUCCGUAACUGGUCUGAGAGGAUGAUCAGUCACACUGGAACUGAGACACGGUCCAGACUCCUACGGGAGGCAGCAGUGGGGAAUAUUGGACAAUGGGCGAAAGCAUGAUCCAGCCAUGCCGCGUGUGUGAAGAAGGUCUUCGGAUUGUAAAGCACUUUAAGUUGGGAGGAAGGGAAGUAAGUUAAUACCUUGAUGUUUUGACGUUACCAACAGAAUAAGCACCGGCUAACUUCGUG